rnacentral:rRNA from 1 species
UACGGAGGGUGCAAGCGUUGUUCGGAAUCAUUGGGCGUAAAGCGCGUGUAGGCGGCUUGGCAAGUCAGUUGUGAAAGCCCGGGGCCCAACCCCGGAACUGCAUCUGAAACUGCCUAGCUAGAGUCCCGGAGAGGAAGGCAGAAUUCCCGGUGUAGCGGUGAAAUGCGCAGAUAUCAGGAGGAACACCGGUGGCGAAGGCGGGUCUCUGGGCCGAUACUGACGCUGAGGAGCGAAAGCGUGGGGAGCGAACAGG